rnacentral:sRNA from 1 species
AUAAACCCCCGGCCGCGGCGGCUGCAGGCGGCGGGCACGGACGGCAGGCACAGCGCAGCACUCCCCGCUCGUUGGCCCGGGUAUCCCAGCGCGGACCCACGCGAUACGCUGACGCCCCGACGCCGAUCCGGCCGAGCCAAGACCCAACGAUGACUCUGAAUAAUGUCACCAUGCGCCAGGGCACUGUGGGCAUGCAGCCACAGCAGCAGCGCUGGAGCAUCCCAGCCGAUGGCAGGCAUCUGAUGGUCCAGAAAGAGCCCCACCAGUACAGCCACCGCAACCGCCAUUCUGCUACCCCUGAGGACCACUGCCGCCGAAGCUGGUCCUCUGACUCCACAGACUCAGUCAUCUCCUCUGAGUCAGGGAACACCUACUACCGAGUGGUGCUCAUAGGGGAGCAGGGGGUGGGCAAGUCCACUCUGGCCAACAUCUUUGCAGGUGUGCAUGACAGCAUGGACAGCGACUGCGAGGUGCUGGGAGGUAGGUGUCCCAGCCCCAGUGGGCUUCUUUCCAUCAGGGGUGGCCCAGGAAGAAAGAGCAAGGGUGGAUGACUUAUAUACCUGCAGAGUUGGGAGCUGAAGUUAGGCAUUUUGGACAAUUGAUGGGGGAGCUGAGUCUCCAGAAAAGCCCAAGCACAGGCUCUCGGGGCAAGAAAAUGAAAAUGCUUGUAGACAGGACCAAAAUCUGUUGAACCUGAGCCAGAAAGGGAAUUCUUCAGAUUCCAAUUCUAAAUGGGUUGGGGAAGGCUGAUUAGAGAGGGCAGAGCCAGAGGGUCAGCGCCCCACCUGACUUCUGCUGACUCUGACUUGAACAUUCUUCCUGGAACUCAGUAUAGACA